AGUGAACAAUUAAACGGCCGCGGUACCCUAACCGUGCAAAGGUAGCAUAAUCAUUUGUCUACUAAUUAUAGACCUGUAUGAAAGGCAAAAUGAGGGUCCAACUGUCUCUUAUAAUAAAUCAAUUAAACUGAUCCCCUAGUAAAAAAGCUAGAAUCCUAACACAAGACCAGAAGACCCUGUGAAGCUUAAACUAAACUAUUAAACCUUAUAAUAACUAAUUUCGGUUGGGGCGACCUUGGAAAAAAAAAGAACUUCCAACAUAUGACUUCCAAAUACAAAUUCUUAGGCCAACAAGCCACCUAACGACCCAGCUAUGCUGAUAAACGAAACAGUUACUCCAGGGAUAACAGCGCAAUCUUCUUUAAGAGCCCAUAUCAAAAAGAAGGUUUACGACCUCGAUGUUGGAUCAGGACAUCCUAAUGGUGCAGAAGCUAUUAAGGGUUCGUUUGUUCAACGAUUAAUAGUCCUACGUGAU
rnacentral:rRNA from 1 species